AAAAGAAUAGGCAAAACUUUUUUAAUGCGAAAAAACGUUAUAAAGAAAUGAUAGAGAAAUUAAUUGUGGUCUCGGGCCCUCUACUUGUUUAAGGUAUACAUCUCCAUGAAUUUAUCAUGCUUAGAAUAUUUAUCCCUGGAUCUUACGCAACCAACAGUCCUUCUAUUAAACGAUUAUUUUCAUAACGUGACGAAAGGCAGAAUAUCUUCACAAUUACAAUGUUCCCGUGUUUACCUCUCCUAAAACAACACGUCAUAUUGGGUUUGAAAGCGGACAGCAUGGUUUAUAUCUAACAAUAUUUUGCAUCUAUCAUCUCAAAUUUUUUCGCCCGGGUAUAAAGAGGUACCCUUAAAUAACGCAUAGAUUGCUAUCUGCUUUAUAUCAUGAUGAAAGUACCAAGGCAACAAUUCAUUUAAUUCUAAAUCUAUCAUUUCAGCUAAAAAGUCUGAUCCUUUUUGUCAUAUAAAGAGACUUUUUUUUAUUGACAUAUUUAAUUCUUGAAAAGUACAGUUAAGUUUUACCCCUGACAUAUGCCAUCGCCAAUUAAUGUUACAAAUUGUAUAUAGCCACACCUUACUCAUUAAACUAUGUAAUCCAUCAAAUGGUCCGAGACCACAAUUGUCGUCCCUAGUCCCUGGUGUUGACAGUGGGUUACUUGCCAAUAUUUUUCAUACCCCUUCCAAAUUUAUUUCUUCAUGUGUUAUGCCUCAAAUUGGAAGUAGAGGGUGAAAUUACACUGUAAAAAAAUUUGGGUCCAGAAUUUUAAAGGGAAGUAGUGAUUUGGUCCAGCUGAAAAAGGUUAAAAAUUAGCACUUCGGAAGAUGCCAAAAGAUUUCAAGACGUCCUAAACAUAAAAUUGUUCAUAUUUUGAGUUAGAGCCGAUGACGUUUCUAUAAUUUUGAUAUAAUUUGUCCCAAAAGUAGUUCAAUGCUAUCUUGAGAGCCGAUAUGGAAACUCUUCCCGGUAAACAGUACGUAAAAUAUUUAAAACCGUAUUGGACAGAGACUGUGAAAGAAUAUCAUACAAUUAUGAGAUUAUAACGUCGAACAUGGAUUGAGAAUGGUAAAUUUCAUGACCGUAAUGACAAACAUUACAGUGAUUACAAAAGCGCUAAACUGAAUUUUAGAAAACAGCUUGAGCUAGCAUAUGAAAACUACAUUAGUGAAAUAAAUCGUAAAAUCGAAGAAUCUGUCGACUGUGAUCAACGUUUUGUAUGGUCUGUGAUAAAAAGUGGACGCAAAUAUGUAUCGCAUUGUCAACAAUUAAAUAUUAACGGUAUUCAACUCAUUUUUUCAGACGAAAUACGUGACGGUUGGGUGACUCAUUUCCAAUCUGUAUUCAGUUUCGAUAGCAACUUGAUCAACCCUGUGAAUGAAAAAGCUAUCGAUAAUACUAUCAACGACUUGUUAGAAACCGUCCGUACAAACACAAACGAAAAUAUCGAGGAAUUUACUUUCGACGAACUAUAUAAACUUUGUGACAAUUUGCCGUGUAACAAAUCUCCAGGGUUAGAUGGAAUCUGUUACGAACAUUUGAAAUACGGCGGAAAUAAAGGCAACAGUA
rnacentral:lncRNA from 1 species